rnacentral:misc_RNA from 1 species
GCAAACUUGGUCAUUUAGAGGAAGUAAAAGUCGUAACAAGGUUUCCGUAGGUGAACCUGCGGAAGGAUCAUUAUUGAAUAUACUUGAUGGGUUGUAGCUGGCUCUUCGGAGCAAUGUGCACGCCUGUCUUGCUUUUUAUUCAUCCACCUGUGCACUUUCUGUAGUCUUCUAGGGAUUGAGAGCAGCCAACUAUCGAGCCUUCUCGGAUGUGAGGAAUGCUUGCGCAUAAAAGUGUGUAGCUUUCUUCAAAUGGCUGUGAACUUUUCCUGGAGUCUAUGUUUUCAUAUACCACAUAGUAUGUAUCAGAAUGUAUUCAAUGGGCCUUUUGUGCCUAUAAAUGAUCUAUACAACUUUCAGCAACGGAUCUCUUGGCUCUCGCAUCGAUGAAGAACGCAGC